rnacentral:ncRNA from 1 species
UAUGAAUAUGAUUUUGGUUCUAGGAUUUAUUUUUUUGGAUAUUUUAUAUGUAAUCUAUUUAAAGUAUUUUGAUGCAGUAUUUAAUUUUGUUAUUCUUUAUUUAUUUUAGAGUUGGUAGUUUUUUAGUUUUGACGAAAUUUGUGCCAGCAUUUGCGGUUAUACAGGUGAGGCGAUUAAAUUUUUUCUUUUUGCAGUGAUAUUUAUUUUUUUUAUUAUAAUAGUUUUAUUUUUAGGUGAAAUUUUUUUUAAUUUUUGUGGUUUUUUUUUUAGGGAUUGAAUUGUAAAAUUCUUAUUUAGACUAGGAUUAGAUACCCUAUUAUUUUGUAAUUUAAAUUUUUUGAUUAGUAUUAGUUUAUUUCUUGAAAAUUAAAAUAUUUGGCGGUAUUUUAGCCCAUUUAGAGGAACCUGUUUAGUAAUUGAUAGUCCACGAUUUGUUUUACUUUAUUUUUUAUUUUGUAUAUCGUCGUUUUUGAAUAUUUUAUUAGAAUUAUAAUUUUCUAUUUAUUUUUAUUUAAUAGUAUUUCAGAUCAAGGUGCAGUUUAUAAUAAAGUUUUAAUGGGUUACAUUUAAUUUAUUUUUGGAUUUUAUUUUGAGUAUUUAUUUGAAAUUGGAUUUAAUAGUAAUUUUAUUUUGAUAUUUAAUUUGAUUAAGGCUCUUAAAUAUGUACAUAUUGCCCGUCACUCUUAAAUAAUUUAAGAGAAGUCGUAACAAAGUAGGUGUACUGGAAAGUGCACCUGGAAUCAU